UGGGGAAUAUUGCACAAUGGGGGGAACCCUGAUGCAGCGACGCCGCGUGGAGGAAGAAGUAUUUCGGUACGUAAACUCCUAUCAGCAGGGAAGAUGAUGACGGUACCUGACUAAGAAGCCCCGGCUAACUACGUGCCAGCAGCCGCGGUAAUACGUAGGGGGCAAGCGUUAUCCGGAUUUACUGGGUGUAAAGGGAGCGUAGGCGGCGGUGCAAGUCAGCAGUGAAAACCCGGGGCCCAACUCCGGGCAUGCUGUUGAAACUGCAUUGCUUGAUUCCGGGAGGGGUAAGCGGAAUUCCUGGUGUAGCGGUGAAAUGCGUAGAUAUCAGGAGGAACACCGGUGGCGAAGGCGGCUUACUGGACCGGCAAUGACGCUGAGGCUCGAAAGCGUGGGGAGCAAACAGG
rnacentral:rRNA from 2 species